GAAUGUCAAGGCCAAGAGAGUUUGUGUGUGUGUGUGUUUUGUGAUGGGAGACGAAUUUCAGGCAGGGAUUUGUAGUGGAAACUGGUGGAAUUCAAGUAGAAGUGGACUGAGCGUGGGUUCGUGUUCAUCACCAUGUUCCAUGGCACUCAAUGAUAUGGGGAGCUUUGGAUGGGCAAGUGAAACCAGAUCGUCUUGUGAGGAGACGACAGCUUCAGUUUCUGAUAGCUCUAUGGUAUUUCAACAUACCAUACCCAGAAGCAAUCGCAAGGUCCGGAUUCUGUCGGUGGCGGUGGCUGUGGCUGUGGCGGUGAUGGUGGCGGCGGUGGGGGUGGCAUCCUGAUGGAUUCUACUACGUUGCAAAUGAUGGGUUUUGGACCUUCAUCUCUCACAAUGGAUUGGAACCAAACUUUACUUCGAGGUAAUGGAAGAAAUGGAGAGACUAAUUUCCAUUCCAUGCUUCAAGAUGAGUUGAGUUCAAGACCC